rnacentral:lncRNA from 1 species
AUAGAUCCUUUCUCUACACGAGAGUGAUGCCAGUCACACUACCAAAAGCACUUUCUGGGAUUCCAAGAGAUGUGCUAUAUAGUUUCUACCCUCAAAUUGUUUUCAGUUCUCUAAGAUAAGUAACUUCACUGACCUGAAAUGUUUCACAAAUUACAUUAUAUCACAAUGGACAUAGCCAGUGAGUGACAUACUUGCUGAGAAGAUGGGGAGAUGGAGUGAUCAACAAGGGCAAAGUUUUCUCAGAAUUUUUGAUUGAUCACCAGCAGAAAAUUUGAACACUAAGGGGAAAAAAUUACUUUGACUUCAUAAAGAUUAAUUCAGAAUGCAGGAUAAAUUCCUCUCAUGAACAUGGAUAUAUAGCAGUAUCAGAAACAAAGAUGCAUUUGAGCUUUGGAAGAAGAAUUAAGAUUUGAGGAAGGAUUUCAUUUUUCGAAGACUACAUAUACAAUUGUCGUUCUCUUGAAGUGGUUUAGAUUUUCCAAAAGGCGACAUUUCAAGAUGAAGCAAAAUGUGUUCUUUCCUUUUUAUCUCAACAAC